AGCAGCCGCGGUAAUUCCAGCUCCAAUAGCGUAUAUUAAAGUUGCUGCAGUUAAAAAAGCUCGCAGUUGAAUUUCGGGACUAAUAUGUCGGUCGUGCCUCGGUACGUACUGGUAUUUUUGGUUUCUCCCUUCUGACGAACCUUGAUGUCAUUAAUUUGGUGUCUUGGGGAAUCAGGACUGUUACUUUGAAAAAUUAGAGUGUUUAAAGCAGGCUCACGCUUGAAUACAUUAGCAUGGAAUAAUGAAAUAGGACGUUUGAUUCUAUUUUGUUGGUUUCUAGGAUUGACGUAAUGAUUAAUAGGGAUAGUUGGGGGCAUUAGUAUUCAAUUGUCAGAGGUGAAAUUCUUGGAUUUAUUGAAGACUAACUACUGCGAAAGCAUUUGCCAAGGAUGUUUUCAUUAAUCAAGAACGAAAGUUAGGGGAUCGAAGACGAUCAGAUACCGUCGUAGUCUUAACCAUAAACUAUGCCGACUAGGGAUCGGAUGAUGUUGAUUUUUUAAUGACUCA
rnacentral:rRNA from 1 species